rnacentral:snRNA from 1 species
ACUGGUACGGACAAGGGGA